rnacentral:rRNA from 1 species
AUGUUAAAAAGCACGUCCCUAUCAGAUAAAGCCAGUGACCUUGGCUCAUCUGGUUUUACUACAGUGUUAGUGCUCUUCUUGUCUUUGGUAGGGAGACGUGCUUCUCCAACAGUAGGCACAGGAUCACUCACUAUAGUGUUGGUGCUCUUCUUGUCUUUGGUAGGGGGACGUGCUUCUCCAGCAGUAGGCACAGGGUCAUUCACUACAGUGUUAGUGCUCUUCUUGUCUUUAGAAGGGGGGCGUGCUUCUCCAGCAGUAGGCACAGGAUCGCUCACUGCUGUCCGCUGGCGUUUCUCAUAUGGAGAAUCACCCUGUACCCAAAAGUAUUGUUAUUCAAAUAUAAUUGUGCAUAAGUAA